UUUGCAAACCCAAACCUGCCCCGGACACCCCCCCCCCCGCCUGGGGAAGCAGAACUGCCACCAAAGGAGGGGGGACCCCGGACGAUCCCCGCUGAGCAGCCCCCUGCUCCCCAGUGAGGACGCCCCUUGGAGCGAAGGCUGCAGAGUAACCACCAGCUUGUCCCAUCCUCCCAGGGCCCGGGGCAGGGAAAUGGCUGCAGUGAUACCGGCUCAGGGGCCGGUGGCCUUCGAGGAGGUGGCUGUGUAUUUCACCCAGG